rnacentral:rRNA from 1 species
AACGCUGGCGGCGUGCCUAAUACAUGCAAGUCGAGCGGACAGAAGGGAGCUUGCUCCCGGAUGUUAGCGGCGGACGGGUGAGUAACACGUGGGUAACCUGCCUGUAAGACUGGGAUAACUCCGGGAAACCGGAGCUAAUACCGGAUAGUUCCUUGAACCGCAUGGUUCAAGGAUGAAAGACGGUUUCGGCUGUCACUUACAGAUGGACCCGCGGCGCAUUAGCUAGUUGGUGAGGUAACGGCUCACCAAGGCGACGAUGCGUAGCCGACCUGAGAGGGUGAUCGGCCACACUGGGACUGAGACACGGCCCAGACUCCUACGGGAGGCAGCAGUAGGGAAUCUUCCGCAAUGGACGAAAGUCUGACGGAGCAACGCCGCGUGAGUGAUGAAGGUUUUCGGAUCGNAAAGCUNUGUUGUUAGGGAAGAACAAGUGCAAGAGUAACUGCUUGCACCUUGACGGUACCUAACCAGAAAGCCACGGCUAACUACGUGCCAGCAGCCGCGGUAAUACGUAGGUGGCAAGCGUUGUCCGGAAUUAUUGGGCGUAAAGGGCUCGCAGGCGGGUUUCUUAAGUCUGAUGUGAAAGCCCCCGGCUCAACC